CACAUCCACAGAUCAUCGCCUCUUCAGAGAUCCCUCAUGCGGGUUACAAAACACAGUUUGUUUGGACAUUUGUUCAUACCUUCUGACUGUAACAAUUUUAACAUGCAGCAAAAGCUUCUAGCGGUCAAAUCAAUCCUCCAAACGGCGUAAGUCAUCAAGAAUUUUGAUUUGCUUCGGCUACUUCAGUUCAAAACUUCAAGUCCACAUCAGAAAACGUCGGGCACUCCAGCUCCGCCCACCCUGUCAGUGCACCGGCUCCAGCUUUUACGGGAAUAGCCGAAAUCUGACCAUCUAAAUCCUGCCACCGCUCCGAAAGGCCUCACAUCCAGCCUCAUCUCGUUAUAUCUCAUCCAGCUUCCGGGUGCCAGGUCGGCUGUCUCCGCCCACCAGCGUGACGUCGCAGCCGUGACUCCUGCGUGGCCUUCUCCCUCCAGCUGCAGCCGUUCAGCACCUCUGUAACCACAUACUGGCAGUCCAGCCCACCCACUUAAUAUGCUUUAUAAAUGAGGCAGCGUUCAUUCCUCCUGUCUGCUACACCAGCCUCCAAGGAUCUGCAAGUCUCCACCUCUUCCCCAACCUCCUUCUUUUAAAAUGUUCAAUAACUCUUACAAUUUUACAAAGAGGGCCGCUGCACACCUCUGCAUCUCUUUUCAGCCAGUGGAAGAGGACGAGGAGCCAGCCUUGAGCAGUGCACAUCUUGUCAUGACAUCUUAACAAGCUGCAAACCUGAACUGCUCAUUCAGAGAAACUUUCCAAUCCGUAGAGGAAGAAAGAAUUAUGGGAGUGGUUGUUUGUCAUGUGUUGUGGGACUGUAGGACACAGAUUGUUCAUAAACCCAAUAUUCCGUCCAUGGACAGUUAAAUAAACAAUACCCCAAUGCUAGCUGUAAGGUUCAUUUUCAAGUAAUACAUCUGUGUUGGUCCUACACCUGUAAGAAUUUG
ensembl:lncRNA